rnacentral:misc_RNA from 1 species
CCAAUUUUAGCGAACCUGAUCUUUUUGGUCAUGGUCUCGCGAAAAUCGUAUUUAAAACCCCCACUCAUAUAAGAAUCAUUUUUUUGUGUAUAUAAAAAUAAAAAAGAU